rnacentral:rRNA from 1 species
AUUGAACGCUGGCGGCAGGCCUAACACAUGCAAGUCGAACGGUAACAGGAAGCAGCUUGCUGCUUCGCUGACGAGUGGCGGACGGGUGAGCAAUGUCUGGGAAGCUGCCUGAUGGAGGGGGAUAACUACUGGAAACGGUAGCUAAUACCGCAUAAUGUCGCAAGACCAAAGAGGGGGACCUUCGGGCCUCUUGCCAUCGGAUGUGCCCAGGUGGGAUUAGCUUGUUGGUGGGGUAACGGCUCACCAAGGCGACGAUCCCUAACUGGUCUGAGAGGAUGACCAGCCACACUGGAACUGAGACACGGUCCAGACUCCUACGGGAGGCAGCAGUGGGGAAUAUUGCACAAUGGGCGAAAGCCUGAUGCAGCCAUGCCGCGUGUAUGAAGAAGGCCUUCGGGUUGUAAAGUACUUUCAGCGGGGAGGAAGGGAAGAAAGUUAAUACCUUUGCUUAUUGACGUUACCCGCAGAAGAAGCACCGGCUAACUCCGUG